rnacentral:lncRNA from 1 species
CAUAUUGUCUCCAGACAUGUUUGUUACAGAGAUUCAACUUUUCACAAAUUUAAUCUCUAAACAAUUUCUUUUCCUACUUAGGUACGGUGAAAAAAACCAUCCAUUUGUAGUUGCUUCUUUUAAAGGCAGAUGGGAGGAAUGGGAGUUAACUCAACAAAUCAGUUAUGCUGCUAAUAGAGCCUCAUUAGACUACUCCUCUGGCAUGUCCUCUGAUGAAGAAAGUGGUAGCAUGGAAUCUCAGAUCAUCCCUAAAGUCAGCAAUCCCAAGAGUGUCUAUCAGGCUGAAAACUUGAAAUGGCCCUGCCCAUCUUGGCUCUACACCACCAGCCGGAAGAAUGUGGCAGAGGGCCGUUCAGGAGUCCUAGGAAACCGGGUUGCUUAUCAAGCUGCACGUAGGAUCCCCAAGUGCUGCAGGCCUGUCACUGGGCACCGCAGGGACAGGACCAUGUGUUGAAAAGGCUACCUGUGGAUCUACUUCUGUUUCAUAUAUAAUGCCCAAGAAUUUUAGUUAUAACCUUGUGAAAGGAGUAAGGAAGAAUGUG